rnacentral:piRNA from 1 species
UCCUGAACUGGUGAGAGAGUGCC